rnacentral:rRNA from 1 species
UGGGGAAUAUUGCACAAUGGGGGGAACCCUGAUGCAGCGACGCCGCGUGAGGGAAGAAGGUUUUCGGAUUGUAAACCUCUGUCCUUGGUGAAGAAGAUGACUGUAGCCAAGGAGGAAGCCACGGCUAACUACGUGCCAGCAGCCGCGGUAAUACGUAGGUGGCAAGCGUUGUCCGGAAUUACUGGGUGUAAAGGGAGCGUAGGCGGGAAUGCAAGUUGAAUGUUAAAACUACAGGCUCAACCUGUAGUCGCGUUCAAAACUGUAUUUCUUGAGUGAAGUAGAGGUAGGCGGAAUUCCUAGUGUAGCGGUGAAAUGCGUAAAUAUUAGGAGGAACACCAGUGGCGAAGGCGGCCUACUGGGCUUUAACUGACGCUGAGGCUCGAAAGCGUGGGUAGCAAACA